UCGAGAACAGAGAAGAACGAAAGGCAGAAAAAAGACGACGUUAUCUCUCACUCGUCUCUCGACAACGAUGACGACUGAAUAUGUUCGUUCUUUUCAAUUUACUGAUGCUAUGGAGUGUGGAACCUGAUAGUAGUCUAGCCCAUGUGGAUUCAACUUUUCGUGCCUAUCCCCUAGCCUAGGGGUGCUUUUGGUAUUUUCAUAGACUUGUGCGUCACUGAUGCGCAGAAGUUUAAACGAAGGAAGCAAGGUAAUGAGCAUAAAUUGGAUGUCUGCCCUCUCUGAUGCUUUUCAGCUUUGAUUUGGAGGCAUGGUUCCACGACACAAUGCCCCUUGAGUCCUUGAAUUCCAGGGGUAUAGGAGGCUUCUAUUUCACUGAAAAAUCUUUUUGUGAGUAGCCACUUUGCAGAUAAAUAGGCAGAGGUCAGGUCUGUCCCCUUCCCCCCCCACCCCACCCCACACACACACCCCCAUACCCCAUCGAUUGGGGAUUACAUGAGUACUGUUAGCGUUGUUGAUCUGUAUAGACAAGACCCUAGCUGUAAGUUGUAGCGAUAGAAGGUGAUGUAAUUACAUUAUUACAAUUCUUUUGUCAUUGUGAAAUAAAUGAAGGGCGAAGCAUGUAAAUGAA